GUAGGGUGCGAGCGUUAAUCGGAAUUACUGGGCGUAAAGCGUGCGCAGGCGGUUGUGUAAGACAGGUGUGAAAUCCCCGGGCUUAACCUGGGAACUGCGCUUGUGACUGCACGGCUAGAGUACGGCAGAGGGGGGUGGAAUUCCACGUGUAGCAGUGAAAUGCGUAGAGAUGUGGAGGAACACCGAUGGCGAAGGCAGCCCCCUGGGCCGAUACUGACGCUCAUGCACGAAAGCGUGGGGAGCAAAC
rnacentral:rRNA from 1 species